CUCAAGCCAUCCUAAAAUUUUUUUAUAUUAAAACUACAUUUAUGAUAGAAUUUAGAGGCGCCUUAAUUAGACCGUUUAAGGGUGCAACCCUAUAGAAACCACACUCUUUAAACAAAGAUGGACAUCUAGGGCAGCACAUCUACUAUGGUGAGUCAAACCUCUGGAAACCAGAGAAAACUAUUAUAUGCACAUCAAACAUCCUCAAAAUGAGGCAGGAUUUGAAAUUAUCCUGAAACAAAUGCAAAUAAAGCUCUCUUGAGAAUAAAACAGGAAUUUGGGCAACCAUUCUACCACCCCAUACAAAAGCAAAAAGCAUCGGUAAGGUGUUGACAGUGCCC
rnacentral:lncRNA from 1 species